rnacentral:lncRNA from 1 species
GCUAUGUAUAUUUUGUACUUAUUAAAACAAUCUUCGUUUUGUGUUCGACGUUUUUAAUACUUACAAGUUUGAAACUGGCAUGCAAUACACAUCGAAAUGUUGUAACUUUUUAGUGUUAUCGACCUAGGGGGUAGGCAUUUUUUUAUGUUUUUUUGCCCCUGGGCAUUCAAAUGGAAGCCAUUGUAGGGAUGACACUCUGCCAAUUUUGCUCUUGAAAACCGACAAAUAUAUCCACAUAGCACCAG